UAACAACUGUGGGAACCGAAAUUUACACUGUUGAUUUCCGUUAAAAUAAGGAAACUAGGAAAGCCCUAAUUUCCUAGAGGUCCCGGAUAUCUGCUAAUACCACACGUCAAGCAAUCAGAACACGAGAAUAACAACGAUAAAGUAUAAGAAAUCGAAAAGAGAGCAAAGUAGAUCUUAUUCCGAAUUCGCGUUUGAGCGUUACAACAAGGUAAGAGCCUGGGCUACGAGAGCUGUCGGCGAGAUUCCUAGUUCUAAAACCCUAAGACGGCAAUAACCUAAUUUAGUCGCAGCUCGAAUAACAAAAACGGAAAUAUGCCUAAAUUGCUCUCAAAAGUUCUCUCUCCAUGCCUCUCGCCUAGGACUCCUUAUAUACUCUCUCCAAGGUCGGUUUAUGCUUUUACUCUUCUGCCCUUAAGCCGUCAUAGCAUAAAAUGGAGAUAUUCCAUUUUUUCCGAUCAUCGUAAUUAUCUUCAAAAUUUCAUGUUUAUCCGCGGAAACUUGACAUUUAUCCUUCCUUGCGCGCCAAGCGUAAACCGUCCUAUGGUUUACGGGCUUUUGGUUAAGAAAUCGUAAGAUGGGCCUCGAGUCGUGUCUUAGGUCCCUUUGGUCCGUCUUCCGACUCGAAACGUUUAUUACGACUUCUUUUGAUAAAGAACAAACUUUCCGUGGUUUUUACCGCAAAGUUUGAUCGAUGACUUAGAAUGGCGGAAAACAUGAACUGAGUUCGCUACGGUCUUCGGGAGAUAGCAUCGAAGGAUAGACGAGAAUGCAUGGGCUGGUGUCAUAUCGACGUUUCAGAAGAGCUCGAUCAGUACAUAGCGACCUAGUGGGAUGAACGCUCGGUUGCUACAUAGUGACCGAUCUUGGCCGAGCUCGGUCGCUACGUAGUGACCGAGCGGGACGAAUAGCGACCAAGCUUUGGUUCAAGCUUCUUUGCUACCUAGCGACCGAGCGGGACGGAUGCUUGGUCGCUACGUAGCGACCGGACAGCGUGCAUGUGCGGUAGUUGUGCAAUGACCGAGCUUGGUUUGUCCGUGUUCCGAUUGUCAUACUCGAACUUAUCCGUACUUCGUUUGGGUAUGUUUCCGAUGGCUUAUGUUUGAUCUAAAUGAAGUUCGAGAUGAAACUUUAUCUCGAAAAGCUAUGUUGCGGAGAGUCAUACUUAUAUAUUGCGGAGAUUUGGACGUUAACUUCGUCGUGACCGUUUUCGACCCCAACAACAACCCCUUCUUUUUGACCCAAGACUCGCUUUGGCGGGUCAAUCCGGGCGGAGGACAUUGUCAGGUGGGGAGUUUGGCUAGGGCGGCACAUCUGUUGAAAGAUAACGCAGGUGUCCUAAGAUGAGCUCAACGAGAACAGAAAUCACGUGUGGAACAAAAGGGUAAAAGCUCGUUUGAUUCUGAUUUUCAGUACGAAUACGAACCCUGAAAGCGUGGCCUAUCGAUCCUUUAGACCUUCGAAAUUUGAAGCUAGAUGUGUCAGAAAAGUUACCACAGGGAUAACUGGCUUGUGGCAGCCAAGCGUUCAUAACGACGUUGCUUUUUGAUCCUUCGAUGUCGGCUCUUCCUAUCACUGUGAAGCAGAAUUCACCAAGUGUUGGAUUGUUCACCCACCAAUAGGGAAUGUGAUCUGGGUUUAGACUGUCGUGAGAUAAGUUAGUUUUACCCUACUGAUGCCCGCGUCGCAAUAGUAAUUCAACCUAGUACGAGAGGAACCGUUGAUUCGCACAAUUGAUCAUCGCAUUUGGUUGAAAAGCCAGUGGCGCGAAGCUACCGUACGCUGAAUUAUGACUGAACGCCUCUAAGUUAGAAUCUGUCCUAGAAGCGACGCAUUCGCCUGCCGCCCGAUUGCCGACCCUCAGUAGGAGCUUCGGCUCCCAAAGGCACGUGUCGUUGGCUAAGUCCGUUCGGCCGAAGCACCGUUCGGACCGCCUUGAAUUAUAAUUACCACUGAGCGGCGGGUAGAAUACUUUGCAGAUGACUUAAAUACACGACGGGGUAUUGUAAGUGGCAGAGUGGCCUUGCUGCCACGAUCCACUGAGAUUCAGCCCUUUGUCACUAAGAUUCGA
rfam:Brassica napus, WGS project CCCW01000000 data, contig: 26771